rnacentral:misc_RNA from 1 species
UCAAACUUUUGACACUGAUGACACCUAUGUUGUCUGUCGUCAAUUCUGAGAGAUUUGUCACGUCGGAGAACACGUAGCCUGAAGCUUGUAAUUUGUUUGAGUUACUGGAAAAUAUUAUGUUGAAGGCGGUGAUUUUGGUAGGAGGAUCGCAGAAGGGCACCCGGUUCAGGCCGUUGUCCUUGGACGUCCCGAAGCCUUUGUUCCCGGUCGCCGGCCGGCCCAUCAUCCAACACCACAUCGAGGCAUGCGUCCGGCUAAAGGAGCUCAAGGAAAUCCUUAUAAUUGGAUACUAUGCCCAGUCCGAAAUGGAGCAAUUCGUUAAUGACAUGCAAAGCCUGUAUAAUGUGAACAUAAGGUACCUUCAAGAAUUCACACCCCUCGGAACAGCUGGUGGAAUGUAUCACUUCCGUGAUCAGAUCAGCAUUGGCAAUCCCAAAGCCUUUUUCAUUUUAAACGGUGAUGUUUGUGCCGAUUUUCCAUUGCAAGCUCUACACGACUAUCAUAUGAGUCGUGAAGGAAAAGCAAUGAUUACAAUUAUGAGCACGGAAGCGACACGACAGCAAGCUGUUCACUAUGGUUGCCUUGUGUUUGAUAAGGAUAACGGGUCCGUUUCGCAUUAUGUGGAGAAACCAAGUUCAUAUGUAUCAACAUUCAUCAAUUGUGGAGUGUACGUUUGUUCGACGGAAGUUUUCAAUUUGAUGUCGUCGAUUUUCCAUUCGCGACAGUUGGAGUACCAUGGAUUUGGUAAUGGACAUAAUGGACGCGAUCAGGGUCAUAUUCAAUGGGAACAGGAGGUCUUGACGCCACUUGCUGGGACUGGCAAAUUAUUUGCUUUACCUGUCAACAACUGGUGGUCGCAAAUAAAAACUGCAGGGUCUGCCAUUUACGCCAAUCGUCACUAUUUAGAACUUUACAGAAAAACCCAUCCGGAGCGACUGGCCAAUGCUGGAACCAAAGAGAUCGGAGAUGGCGAUGGAAGCUUAAUUUGCACUAUAUAUCCCGAUGUAUAUAUCCAUCCGACAGCAUCCGUUCACCCUACUGCUCACUUAGGACCGAAUGUCUCCAUUGGCCCGGGGGUCUCGAUUGGACCAGGCGUGCGAAUUCGCGAAUCCAUCAUUCUAGAGAAUGCCGUCAUCAAAGACCACACUUUGAUUUUGCAUAGCAUAGGUAACUUGUGUAAUUUGGCACAUACUUUUCUCAUUGGCAACGCUUAUUUUAAUCACGAGUUCUUAUUUACAAUUUUCGUUGUUCGAAUGGAAUUUCCAAGUCGGUCGUGGUUCAAAUAUUGGUUGUUGGGCUCGAGUGGAGGGCACGCCCAGUGACCCUGAUCCAAAUAAGCCAUUUGCUAAAAUGGAUAAUCCUCCAUUGUUCAAUAAGGAAGGGAAACUUAAUCCAUCAAUAACUAUUUUAGGAUGUUUCGUUAAUGUUCCGUCGGA